UUUAACGCAAUGAAGCAAAAUACUUUAACACUUAGGAAAAGAGUGGAACACAGGCACAACCAGCAAACAGCAGCGGUUUUGCAGUGAUGAUGGUGAACUACAAGAGGCUUUUAAAAACUGUGUGCUGUAAACUCAUUCUUCAGAUUCGCCUACGGACCACGGCUGCCAGUAGGAGAGGACUGAACUAGUGGCUGCUUCCAAAGCCACUCGGGACGCCCUCUGGAAGUUGACACAUCUAGUGGCCCAGACUCCAUCAUCAACGGGACACUUUACAGGGAGAACCUCAAGAAUCCAGGAGAAGAGCCUGCGAUUGCACAGACACAGCCCUGACCCAAGUGAUUUCCAAGGGCUCUUGUGGAGGACACCCGGGGAGCAAAGUCCUUCCAUGCUGGACUAGGACCCGGGGACCUGGGGUAUUCCUCUUUCCCUCUUGCUGCUUUGCAACUCAGGGAGGGGCCGUCAUUAAAAUGCAAGGUUCGAGCGGCAACUCUGAGAAGAGUACCUGAGAAGGCUGAGAAAGAGACUUCUUUCUGCCAGACAGACAGACGCGCCUGACAGAGGAGCACAGAGCAGAUGUUAGGGAGCGCCUAGUAUGUGCCAGGCGCCCAGGACACAGGGCGCGCGGGCUGGGACACACCGAGGCCCCAAAACUGUUCCCGCGUUCAGCAAGUGUGCUCCAGGCGCCCACUGCCUGCCAGCUUCGCGCCAGUCCCAGGCAGAACAAUGCAGACCGAUGCCAAGGGGAAAUGAGAAUGCCUGGCUUCCUGUGCCAGUCUGGGGCCCCCUUAGCCCCAGGUAGGCAGCUCGCUUGCUCUUGAAUUUUCCAGGCUAGGAAAAUCACUCUUCAGUUUUUCAGGAUGCCAUAUGGCAUGACUGUGAUACUUUUACUCAGGCCAACAAGAACUGUCUACUGGGUUCUAGACUUCCACGGAGAGGACCAGCCACAAAGUGCACCCCAUCUCCGACCCUAGGGUCCCCCAGCCCCCUGUUCACCUUGACAAAGUAGGCAUUGCCACACCAGACCUGCUGGCUCCCUGGUUUUGGGAUGCCCAGAUUUUCCCCAAUGGCCAGGAUCUCUGCUUUCCCCUGUCCCUUAAGGACCACAAGUUGUUGAAAAGCAGAUGUGUCUUUCAGCCUCUUUAAUAAAUGCAGUAAGGAGAGCUGGGACAAAGUUUCAGACUGUGGGGCUCCCUCAUGCCAAAGCAUUCAGACAAACUGUAGGGGAAAAAAAAUUAGAAAAGAUGAGGCAAUUAUCCGAAUGUCAAGCAGCUGAAUAUUUAGAAAACCAAAUCUUUGAGGGACUUCUAAAGCCUUUUUUUAAACACAUGUUUUCAUGUUUGAGAAACAUCCUGGAACAGAAAACACAAAAGGAAUCAACCUUCCCCCCCCCCCUUUUUUUAACUUUUAAAAAACUGUUAAAAUUGGAUUCACAGUAAAAUAAGUGGAAACAGUAGCAAGUG